rnacentral:rRNA from 1 species
ACGGGUGAGUAACGCGUGGGUAACCUACCCUGUACACACGGAUAACAUACCGAAAGGUAUGCUAAUACGGGAUAAUAUAUUUGAGAGGCAUCUCUUGAAUAUCAAAGGUGAGCCAGUACAGGAUGGACCCGCGUCUGAUUAGCUAGUUGGUAAGGUAACGGCUUACCAAGGCGACGAUCAGUAGCCGACCUGAGAGGGUGAUCGGCCACAUUGGAACUGAGACACGGUCCAAACUCCUACGGGAGGCAGCAGUGGGGAAUAUUGCACAAUGGGCGAAAGCCUGAUGCAGCAACGCCGCGUAAGUGAUGAAGGCCUUCGGGUCGUAAAACUCUGUCCUCAAGGAAGAUAAUGACGGUACUUGAGGAGGAAGCCCCGGCUAACUACGUGCCAGCAGCCGCGGUAAUACGUAGGGGGCUAGCGUUAUCCGGAUUUACUGGGCGUAAAGGGUGCGUAGGCGGUCUUUCAAGUCAGGAGUGAAAGGCUACGGCUCAACCGUAGUAAGCUCUUGAAACUGGGAGACUUGAGUGCAGGAGAGGAGAGUGGAAUUCCUAGUGUAGCGGUGAAAUGCGUAGAUAUUAGGAGGAACACCAGUUGCGAAGGCGGCUCUCUGGACUGUAACUGACGCUGAGGCACGAAAGCGUGGGGAGCAAACAGGAUUAGAUACCCUGGUAGUCCACGCUGUAAA